UAGUCCUACGGGACGCAGCAGUAGGGAAUAUUGCACAAUGGGGGAAAGCCUGAUGCAGCGACGCCGCGUGAGUGAAGAAGUAUUUCGGUAUGUAAAGCUCUCUCAUCAGGGAAGAUAAUGACGGUACCUGAUUAAGAAGCCCCGGCUAACUACGUGCCAGCAGCCGCGGUAAUACGUAGGUGGCAAGCGUUAUCCGGAUUUACUGGGUGUAAAGGGAUCGUAGACGGCAUGGCAAGUCU
rnacentral:rRNA from 1 species